UUUUAUAUAGUUUAUAAAUAAAACAUUAUAUUUUCAAUAUAAAAAAGUAAAUAUAUAAAAU
rnacentral:tRNA from 1 species